UUCUUCUAGCUCUUCUGCCACAAAGUCCAGAGAGGACAGGAGAGAGUGUGAGCAGCUGAAGUGAGAAGACUACCUAUCCUAUCCUUAAACAACUGUUUGUCAAGGAUCUUGAGGAGCAAUAGUGCGAAGAACAGGAGGUAGAAGGAAAAGAAGAGAGAAAGGAAAAGAGUUGGAAGGAGAAAAGUGUUAAGAAACCUGGAAGAGGAAUCCUCCGCGGAGUGGACUGAGGUUUACCGUAAAAAAUCGGGCUGGCAGCAGUAAAACUCUGAACUAAGUCCUCUGCCAUAAAGUCCGGAGAGGACAGGAGAGAGUGUGAGCGGCUGAAGUGAGAAGAUAAACUUCCCUAUCAUCAAACAACUGAUUCUCAAGGAUCUUAGGGAGCAAGUAAGUCUUAACAGAGGUCCUUCAAAGUAUUUCUCUCCCAGCCUGCUUUCCCCUUGCUCAGUUGGCAGCCUUGUGAUCCCAAUGAUGUUUGAUCUCCUGCUACUCUGAAGCUUUCCCCUAAGGUUAAUAGCAGCAUUGUAGGGAACAAGAUUAUUAUCAGAAUCAUGGGGUGGGGAGGGAAAGUUUCAAAUUCUCCUUUGCCUGCAAAUCCCUUCUGUGCUGAUGAGUUGACUGGGGAGCACCUGAGAGUGCUAAAAAGGAGGCUGGACAGCAAAGGUUAACAGUUAUCUGAAGCCCCCCAUCCCUGUUCCCAAUUGCCCAUGAAACUAGGCAAACGAUCUGGAACCUCCCCUACUCCCCCCUCCAACAUGGCUGAUCAGUGGAAAGAUACAUUGUGAGCCUCAUUAAAAUAGGCAGUGGGACAAAAGCAGUCUGAGCGGUGCAAAUGGCAUGCUUCUGAAGCAGAGUUUCAAAAACCUCCCCUCCUCUGUCUGCUGAGCAGUGGCAAAGCCCAUGGGGUUCCUGGCAUGCACCCAGGGUCUGUGGUCCUUUGGAGAAUUGAGACACAGCAGAGACUUUAUAAAAAAUAUGGUUUAUUCACCUAUUUAUGCUAUUUUCAGUCUGCAUGGAGGGAGUCCAGAUCUUACAGCAUGUUCUUUUCAAGAGGGAUUUAUCCCCCACAGUAGUGCAGCCCCAGGGCAUAUCUUCUAGCCAGCCUGCCCAAGAUGGACGCCAAUCUUUCUUCUUCCUUCUUCCUCCCAGCAACCCUUUCUCAAAACUCUUCAUUUCCUGCCACCUCAAACAAACACCCCAUCACUUGUGUAGGGAGAUACUUCAAGAGUGCCAACACUUGCCUUGGAAUCUUUUUGCUUGGAAAGAAGGUCACUGGAAACUGUGGUGUCUUCAGGGCAGUCUGGAGCAGGUCGGGCGUGUGGGAUGGAACACUGGGGCAGACAAGUCACAACAGUUCCUAGAGUGUCCACUAACAGGAACUCACCUGGAGGGACACCUGACUACAGGUCAGUUCCUGUUCCCUCAGACAUGCAAAUGAGUUGGAUUAGACAAAAGCCCUAGCCUGCAAUCACUCUCUCUCUUAGCUACUUCCUCCCUCGAUGAGGACACA